AACACUUGUGAGCAUUAGAGGCUAGUCAUCUCACCUUCUCCCUUAAAUACAUGUCCUACAGCUAGUGCAAUCAGUCAUGGCGGCUUCUGUUUUACUGCUCUCAAGUCGCAUUACAGCUCAAAACCCGUCCUCUAAACUGGAUCUUGAUGGUGGGUUUUCAAGGAAAAGCUCUGGUUCUGUACAUUUUUUAAGGCCCUCUAUUUGGAAGAACAACAAUGCUGUUAAAGUCUCCUGUGCCAUUAGCAAAGAUAAUGGGAAUGCAGUGUCUGUUGCUGAUUCUGUGCCUACCGUGACUCGCUCCAAGAUGCAACGGCACACAAUUUCAGUGUUCGUGGGUGAUGAAAUUGGUAUAAUAAACCGGAUUGCAGGGGUCUUUGCUAGAAGAGGUUACAGCAUCGAAUCCCUUGCUGUUGGUUUGAACAAGGAUAAGGCUCUCUUUACCAUAGUUGUCUGUGGAACUGAAAAAGUCUUGCGGCAAGUUGUAGAACAGCUUAACAAGCUUGUGAAUGUCAUAAAGGUGGAAGAUAUCUCCAGGGACCCUCAAGUAGAACGUGAACUGAUGCUCAUAAAACUCAAUGCUAAUCCAAGUACUCGUGCUGAGAUCAUGUGGUUAGUGGACAUCUUCAGAGCCAAAAUUGUUGAUAUCUCAGAACAUUCACUUACUAUCGAGGUCACUGGUGACCCUGGGAAGAUGGCUGCUGUUCAAAGGAAUUUAAGCAAGUUUGGAAUCAAAGAACUUGCUAGAACUGGAAAGAUUGCUCUGAAACGGGAAACAAUGGGCGAGACAGCUCCAUUUUGGGGUUUUUCUGCAGCUUCAUAUCCUGACCUUGACAGGAUUCCAUCUGGCGUUGCUCUUGAUAGGAAUUCUACUAACACCUUUGCAGGGAAUGGAGACCUAUCACUUAAUGGCAGCAACACUUCAUCCUCGAAGGGUGAUGUCUAUGCCGUGGAGCCUUACGAUGAUUUCUUGGCAAAUCAAGUUCUUGAUGCUCACUGGGGUGUACUUUAUGACGAAGAUUCGAAUGGUCUUCGGUCUCACACUUUGUCUAUGCUUGUGAAUAACUGUCCCGGAGUUCUCAAUAUUCUCACCGGGGUUAUAUCUCGAAGAGGCUAUAACAUUCAGAGUCUUGCUGUGGGGCAUGCUGAAAAAGAGGGACUUUCUCGCAUUACUACGGUUAUUCCUGGAACAGACGAGUCAAUUGGCAAGUUGGUUCAGCAACUUCACAAGUCAAUAGAUUUUCAUGAGGUUCGCGAUAUUACUCACUCGCCAUUUGCAGAACGAGAAUUGACUCUGAUAAAGAUAGCUGCAAAUAGUGCUGCUAGGAGGGAUGUUCUUGAUAUUGCUAGAAUAUUUCGGGCAAAAGCUGUUGACUUCUCUGAUCACACAAUUACUCUUGAGGGUUUAGACAAGCAUUAUUUUUAAGGGCUGGCAAACUGAAGAAUCAGUUGGUUGGUCGCUUAAGGUCUUCUGAUGAAGGUCUAGGGAUGACAAGGAAUUGGUGAAUGCGUGGUGCUUGAAAGGAUAAGGAUGGCGCAGCGGAGAUUUAAUUAGACUGGUGUUUGGGGUUUUAUUUAAUGGUGUCCUGACUUGCAAAUUUGUGAGAGUAUUGCAUCCUCAAAUACCAUCUCACAUCAUCCUAGUAUUGGAGCAAAUCGAGGGUUUACCCGCUCCUUGUUCGAACGGCGCAGGUCAAGUUUCCUUGUCAUAGAAAAAAUGUAAGAUCUCUGGGGUUUGUGGCAUGAAAAACAUGACAUUUCGUAGUUCUUGUCUUCCUGGAUUUGACUAGUGGAGCAAUACCUGCACAACAUAGUUAUCAAGUCCACCAGAAGCACCGUAAUGCUAAAAUCAAUUCUUGAAUGCUGGAGUUCAAAUUGGUUGGCUGUUUGUCUCAACUUUUUGUAGUUAAAGAGCUCUGAAGGAAUGUGAACUGGGGAUGCCAAGAUAAAUGUCGGCAUUAGUCUUGUUACUUGAACAAUCUGCUAAAAUCAAUCAGUUAUCAACUUGAUAUAACACAUUACUGGUUACUUGCACUUUCCCGAAAGUUAAUCUGGCAACUGAAAGUCCAUUUCUUUUUGCAUUAAAAUCAAGUUAGAGUAUUGCUUUAAGGAUGCCUGUUAUUGCACACUAUUCAGGAGUUUCGCAUUUAUUUUUAUGACAGUAUUAGCCUCUCUCCGUGGUUUAUUCCAAGCUCCCGUUAUUUGUCCUUGUUGUUACUAAUGCUCUAGCCAUUCGA